UUCAUGGCACAUGCUGCUUAAUGUUCCCUAAACUGAGCUUCCCAUCCAGGGAGAGUGGACACCCUGACAGCAAGGAGCCCCCGGGGCAGGGUGUGAGGCAGAACGGGAGUGUUGUUACCAUGCAGAUUCCUAGGCCCUGCCCAUCCAUACCUACUGAACUGGGGCUGCUGGGGGAGGGGAUGGACAUUCAUAGCUUUUAGGUUUCCAGGGGACCCUGAGGCCUGCAGAAUGACAUUUGGCAUCUACUGCCAGGACAGGCGAACACCCCAGUAGAUGGACCUUGGAAAAAAUGAGACAUCAAUGAGGUUCAAUAGUGUUACCUCACUCCCUCAGCUAGAGACCCUGCUGACUGAAAGUAGAGCUGCUAUUGAUUGAGCACUUGUGUGCCUCCUGAGUUAGGAACUAUUAUUGUCCCCUUUUACAGAUGACUAUGUUGAGGCACAGGGAGGCUUGAGUAACUGUUUCAAGAUGCUAGGGCUGAGGGUGGUGAACUCAGCAUUCAAACCUGGCCUGCUGAUUCCAUGCUGGCUCUUAACCCUAUUCUACAUGGGCUUCUAUAAACUAGGGUGUCACGGAGCCCCCUGCAGGCCUUCUGCUGCUCCUUGCUGGGUGUCCUUGGAUGGCCCCUUCCCUCCUCCAGCCUGGGCUCCAUGACCCCAGGCUGCCCUGUGGACCAGGGCUGGGGCUGGCUCCCAUCACGUCCCCCCGGCCUGAGUCGCCUCUCCUGUACACCUGCUUCCGUGGUUCCACAGGAAACUGAGCUGUCAUCUAGGAUCUCACAUGGAGAUUGUGGCUGAGCUGGAAAAGGGAAGAACAUUCUCUAGAGACAGUUCCAUGCCAUACAGACCUUUGUCCCUGUUUUGAAGGGGAUUCAGUGUGUUUCCAAUUCUGUGAGCUGUCCAGCCAUCAUGGACGCCUCUAACUUUCCCUGUGAAAACCAUUUCCACGACUAAGUGGGAUACCUUGAGGGGAUGCAGCCUGAUAAGAGCUGGAUCUGGAGAGAGAAGGAGAUAAUCUUAAGCAGGCUCUAUGAUCAGAGUGGAGCCCAACACAGGGAUCAAUCCUAUGACCCUGGGAUCAUGACCUGAGCCGAAAUGGAGUUGGACGCUCAACUGACUGAACUACCCAUGCGCCCACUGCUAUUUAUUUCUAAUAUAAUGCCUUUGUGACAGAGAACAGCUUGUGUAUUCUUUGAAUGAUUUAAAAUGUAUGCAGUUUUGUUUUAUGAUCCAGAAUAUGGUGUAUCCAAAUAAAUGGUCUAUACACAGUUGAAAAGAAUGUGUAUUUUGCUUUUGUUGGAUGGAGUGUUCUAUAAAUAUCUUUCGGAUCAGGUUGGUUGAUAGUGUGCUUCAAAUUUAUUCUUACUGAUUUUCUGUCUACUUAUUCUAGCAAUUAUUGAGAAAGGGACAUUGAAAUAUCUAACUGUAAUUGUAGAUUUAUUACUCU